rnacentral:rRNA from 1 species
UGGAGGAUGAAGGCCUUCGGGUCGUAAACUCCUGUCGACCGGGAAGAAUGCACCUGACCUAAUACGUCGGCGUGUUGACUGUACCGGUGGAGGAAGCCACGGCUAACUCUGUGCCAGCAGCCGCGGUAAUACAGAGGUGGCAAGCGUUGUUCGGAAUUACUGGGCGUAAAGGGCGCGUAGGCGGCCCGUCAAGUCCCGUGUGAAAGCCCCCCGGCUCAACCGGGGAACGGCGCGGGAAACUAGCAGGCUUGAGUUCGGGAGAGGGAAGCGGAAUUUCGGGUGUAGCGGUGAAAUGCGCAGAUAUCCGAAGGAACACCGGUGGCGAAGGCGGCUUCCUGGACCGACACUGACGCUGAGGCGCGAAAGCUAGGGGAGCAAACGGGAUUAGAUACCCCGGUAGUCCUAGCCCUAAACGAUGAGAACUGGGUGUAGAGGGUAUGAACCCCUUCUGUGCCGAAGCUAACGCAUUAAGUUCUCCGCCUGGGGAGUACGGUCGCAAGGCUG